UACGGAGGGAGCUAGCGUUGUUCGGAAUUACUGGGCGUAAAGCGCGCGUAGGCGGCUUUGUAAGUCAGAGGUGAAAUCCCGGGGCUCAACUCCGGAACUGCCUUUGAAACUGCAUCGCUUGAAUCCGGGAGAGGUGAGUGGAAUUCCGAGUGUAGAGGUGAAAUUCGUAGAUAUUCGGAAGAACACCAGUGGCGAAGGCGACUCACUGGACCGGCAUUGACGCUGAGGUGCGAAAGCGUGGGGAGCAAACAGG
rnacentral:rRNA from 1 species